rnacentral:rRNA from 1 species
UACGGAAGGGGCAAGCGUUGUUCGGAAUCAUUGGGCGUAAAGGACGCGCAGGUGGCUCUGUAUGUCUGCCGUGAAAGCAUACAGCUCAACUGUAUUGUGUCGGUAGAAACUGCAGGACUUGAGGCUGGGAGGGGCUGGUGGAAUUCCCUGUGUAGCGGUGAAAUGCGUAGAGAUGGGGGAGAACACUCGUGGCGAAGGCGGCCAGCUAGACCAGUUCUGACACUGAGGCGCGACAGCGUGGGGAGCAAACAGG